rnacentral:rRNA from 1 species
UAGGGAAUCUUCCGCAAUGGGCGAAAGCUUGACGGAGCAACGCCGCGUGAGUGAUGAAGGUCUUCGGAUCGUAAAACUCUGUUAUUAGGGAAGAACAAAUGUGUAAGUAACUAUGCACGUCUUGACGGUACCUAAUCAGAAAGCCACGGCUAACUACGUGCCAGCAGCCGCGGUAAUACGUAGGUGGCAAGCGUUAUCCGGAAUUAUUGGGCGUAAAGCGCGCGUAGGCGGUUUUUUAAGUCUGAUGUGAAAGCCCACGGCUCAACCGUGGAGGGUCAUUGGAAACUGGAAAACUUGAGUGCAGAAGAGGAAAGUGGAAUUCCAUGUGUAGCGGUGAAAUGCGCAGAGAUAUGGAGGAACACCAGUGGCGAAGGCGACUUUCUGGUCUGUAACUGACGCUGAUGUGCGAAAGCGUGGGUAGCAAACAGG